UACGUAGGGUGCGAGCGUUGUUCGGAUUCAUUGGGCGUAAAGGGUGCGUAGGCGGCGCGGUAAGUCGGGUGUGAAAUCUCGGAGCUUAACUCCGAAACUGCAUUCGAUACUGCCGUGCUUGAGGACUGGAGAGGAGACUGGAAUUUACGGUGUAGCGGUGAAAUUCGUAGAUAUCGGGAGGAACACCGGUGGCGAAGGCGGCGAUCUGGGUCGAUACUGACGCUGAGGUGCGAAAGCGUGGGGAGCAAACAGG
rnacentral:rRNA from 1 species